rnacentral:tRNA from 1 species
GCCUCAGCUUAGUUGGUAGAGCACUCGUUUAGUUAACGAGAGGUCUCCAGUUCGAUUCUGGGUGGAGGCA